rnacentral:lncRNA from 1 species
UGGUUUGACAGUAAGCAAGGGGAACAGAGAGGGAGAGAAGAGGACGCUGUCCUGUUCCUCUCUUUCCUCAUUCUCUCAUUGGUCCCAACAUCCAACACCGUCCAAUAUGUGAACGCAGGCCAUGCAGACACCAACAGCAAACCUUUCUGUUUGGGUCUAAGUUUACAUGAAUGAUUUCCAGCUUCUUUUUAGUAGACUCUGUGUUCACUGUACAAGACUGUGUGUGUGUGUGUGAGAGAGAGAGAGAGAGUGAAUGUGUGUGUGUGCGAUCAGACUGAAUUUAAUUGGUGCACAGACUUUCUUGCCUGCACUUCAGAAUCAAAAUAAGGAAACUCAUUGCGCAAUGCCACAUUUUUGGGUUCGUUGACCGCUUGUAAAUUCCUCCAAACUCAAACGUCUUUUUCCUUGGUCAAAAAAAUAUCUUUGUAUCAUUGUGAGCUGUUCUGAAAGAGUUUGUGGACGAGAGAGAGAAAGAGGCCAUUCGAGAGAAACAAGGCUUUGUUUGAGCUCUGCUGGGUUCUGAUUGAGCUGAUAUGUGAGAGAGAUCCGCUCGGACAACACAAAUGAGCUUCCUGUUUGAGAAAUCCUUGCGGAAAACAUCCUAAAGCUGGGAAAAGAGCUGUUUUCAAGUCAGAUAUUUAAUCUGUGAACACCACCCAUGUUGUGCACAAGAAUGGGGAGACGCCUGAUAAAAAUAGGUCAGAGGCUCUGUUCCAAACUAGUGAGAUGCCUAUGUAGGCAACACUUUAAGGCAUCACAGCUGCACCAAGGUUGUUUCAAAUCAUCUGCUGCCUUCUAAGAUUCUUUUGGCCAAAUUUAAAAUUCUAAUUCAUUUUUUUUUUUAGAGAAAGCAUGAUCUGAGAAUGCAUUGCAACAAUCUAAAAAUAAAAACAUCCAUGAUGGGCGGACAAAGACUUGGUUGUAAAUGCAAUGCAUUCAAUACAGAAAAGCAUAUAAACAGUUUAGUCCAAUGUGUAGUUUUUUUUUUAUUGUUAGUUUAGCAACAUGCAUCACACUUAACUGGAAUCAGCAAAGAAGCAGCUCACAGUGUUUUGGAACAGAGCCAUGCAGUGUUUUGUGGUCUUGGCUCUCUCGUGUUUUAAUUUUAAGUCAGAGGAGGAAACAGUUUCUUAUGAAAUCCAGUUCUGGAAAUACCCUGUUCUCAGUAGCUGUGAAGCCAUCUGAUCGCAUUCGAGAUCCGUGGGAAUUAAUUCUGCCAUUUACUGACUCUCGUUCUUCUGGCGCUGUUAAAGUCAACAUGAAAUCAACAUUGACUCUCUUCAUUCAUGUCCCUAUCUUAUUGUGA